GUGAACGCUGGCGGUAGGCCUAACACAUGCAAGUCGAACGGCAGCACAGUAAGAGCUUGCUCUUACGGGUGGCGAGUGGCGGACGGGUGAGGAAUACAUCGGAAUCUACUUUUUCGUGGGGGAUAACGUAGGGAAACUUACGCUAAUACCGCAUACGACCUACGGGUGAAAGCAGGGGAUCUUCGGACCUUGCGCGAUUGAAUGAGCCGAUGUCGGAUUAGCUAGUUGGCGGGGUAAAGGCCCACCAAGGCGACGACCCGUAGCUGGUCUGAGAGGAUGAUCAGCCACACUGGAACUGAGACACGGUCCAGACUCCUACGGGAGGCAGCAGUGGGGAAUAUUGGACAAUGGGCGCAAGCCUGAUCCAGCCAUACCGCGUGGGUGAAGAAGGCCUUCGGGUUGUAAAGCCCUUUUGUUGGGAAAGAAAAGCAGCAGGUUAAUACCCCGCUGUUCUGACGGUACCCAAAGAAUAAGCACCGGCUAACUUCGUG
rnacentral:rRNA from 1 species